GGUGACUAUUGCGUUAGGGAUCACCUCUUCCCAUUCCGAACAGAGUCGUUAAGCCUAACAGCGCCGAUGGUACUGGGUUCGCCCCGGGAGAGUAGGUCGUCGCCAU
rnacentral:rRNA from 1 species